rnacentral:tRNA from 1 species
GGGCAAUUAGCUCAGUUUGGUUUAGAGCAUCUGUUUUACAAGCAGGGGGUCACUGGUUCAAAUCCAGUAUUGCCCACCU